GUAAUUUCCAUAUCUGUUUUUCUUGUUUCUCAAUAUUCAUUUCAUAAAUGUUAUCUCCUAUAUAUUUUAUGCUAAACUGAAGUAUAAUUUGUUGGCUAAAUGUUGUAUCUCACCAUUUCACUUUUCAGCUAAUUAGUAAAUCAGUUGCUUCUGCCGUAAUGAAUGGCUCAGGUACCCCAGCCAUCUGAGUCAAUCAAUCAGCAUGUGGCUUUUUUCUGUUUGCAGGAACUGUUUCAAGAGAGGUUCAGGGAAUAUAAGCUCAAGCCUCUGGUUCACUGAGGGUGAGAAGUGUUCUUUCUCACUGGACAUGAAUAUUUCUUGCAGAUAUCUUAUGAUCAAAGAUGAUAUCAACCUUAGAACAAAAGUGACGCUGAAUGGCAGUGAGAAGAUAGAGAGAAUUAUUCUCUGCCUCUGGAGUUUCAUUUAUAUCACCAGAGCAGAAAUCAGUGUGCAAGGCGAGUUUGGCUCUGAUGGAUACCUGUUGCUUUGAGGAGGGCUUCCAAGAAGCUGCAACCCAAAAGUAAAGGUCAACUGGACAGAUAAACACCCUUGUAAACUCUCAAGUCAGCUUUGGGAUAUUUCAGUUUCUGAAAGCAGAAAAAGGUAAUCAAUCCCAUGUUUAUAUUGCUCUGGCAGAAACAAAAGAUAAAUCAUCUCUAGAGGAAAGUAACACUAUCUUAGGUCAAGAAAAAUUAUUUAUGCAGCCAGUUUUGCAAAAACAAGGUCUGGAACAUAAAAGUAUCCAAGAUAUCCAGGUAUAUAAAGGGGAAAGACCAACUGAACAAAACCCAGCAGAAACACGCAUCAGAAAAGAUUCACAGGGCUCCAGGUACUGAUCUAUCAAAACCCCUAAAAUAACAAUUUUACUCUGUUAAAGGACACAUAAUGUAAACUAGAAAAUCUGGCAGAAAACUGAGAACUAUAAAAUGUUGAACUUUUAGGACUAAAGUAUCAUAGUCAGAUUUGGAAAUAAGUGAUAAAGGUUUAGCAGCCCAUUAGAUACUGUUGAGAGUAGCAUCUAUGAACUAUUAAUAAUAUACUGGUCAGAAGAAGAUACCCAGAACGAGCAUGGACACUUCAAAACAGAAAAUAAGAGUCUAAGAUAUGUAAGUGGAAUUAUUUUGAGACAGAAGAGAGAUAAUGCGAAUUUAGGAGAAAUACAAGCAAAUGUUAAAAGUAGCUGAAUUUAAAGAAGACAGAUGAACUUAAAAGCAGCAAUGAUCACUGACAAGUAACUUCUUGCCAGGAAAAAAAUGCCAAUCAAAAUCCUUUAUUGAGUGAAAAAUUUCAUUGAGAAUGAAAAUGAAAUAUAUAAACUUUGGGAUGAGCAAUAACCAUGAACAUUUGUAAUCAGUAACACAGCACUAAAGAAAACACUAAAGGGUCUUCGAGCAGAAAAAAAAACUCCAGAUGAAAAUGCAAAGAUGCAGGAGGAAAGAAGAAACAAUGGAAAUUGAAAUUGUGUGGUUCGACCCACUUUAAGUUCCAUUUUUAUUUUAGUCAAAUUUCUGUAAUUAGGUUAUUUCUGUCUCACUGACUUUUCGUUUCAUGAUUUCUUUGGC
rnacentral:lncRNA from 1 species